UGAGUUUUGAGGGAGUGAGCGAAUUGCAAAUAAUGUUUAAUGGUGGUGGCUCUUGUGUCUCGAAUCACCUACGGCUGCGAGACCGCGACCUCCGCCGCCGCCACCAACCCCAACUUGGUUUUGGGUUCGUCUUUGGCUUUGGAUUGGGUACUCGAAUCGCUGGGCUACGAGUACGACGCUCUCUCAAAUCCUUGUCUGCUCGUAGAAGGGCAAGAUCUCAUACUCGAUUCAGCAGGCGUUGAUUGGCCUCUCAGCUAUGUACGAAUCCAGCUGCCUAAUCUAAGAUUGGGAAGUGAAAAGUGAAAUCAGAAAGAAUGAGAGUAAGAAAAUAGGGAAGCUUGUUACCAUGUAGACCUAUGUCGGGCCACUUUCAUCCAAUUCCACCUAUGGUCUCCAUGGAACUGGAGAAUGGGAGUUUGAUUUUGCUGCUCUUGAAACUGAACUGUGGGAAGGCAAAGGGAGGAAGAUUUCAGAAGUGAAGGGUUUCCAUUCGGGCUGUUCAGUAUCUAUAGUUGUUUUCCAAUUCUAAUCAACUCUCCAUGGGAUGUCUGCUUUCAUCCAGUCAAUGAGAAAGUUUAUAUUGCCAUGGCUGGCCAACAUCAAAUUUGGCAACUUGAUACAGCUGAUGGGAUUACUAGAGCAUUUAGUGGUGAUGGUUAUGAAAGAAAUCUGAAUGGAUCAAGCUCUUCAAGCAUAUCAUUUGCACAGCCUUCUGGAAUUUUAUUAUCUCCUGGUAU